rnacentral:rRNA from 2 species
GAACGUGGCGGGUGCUUACCAUGCAGUCGAACGAUGAACCGCUUUCGGGCGGGGAUUAGUGGCGAACGGGUGAGUAACACGUGGGCAAUCUGCCCUGCACUCUGGGACAAGCCCUGGAAACGGGGUCUAAUACCGGAUAUGACUGUCCAUCGCAUGGUGGAUGGUGUAAAGCUCCGGCGGUGCAGGAUGAGCCCGCGGCCUAUCAGCUUGUUGGUGAGGUAGUGGCUCACCAAGGCGACGACGGGUAGCCGGCCUGAGAGGGCGACCGGCCACACUGGGACUGAGACACGGCCCAGACUCCUACGGGAGGCAGCAGUGGGGAAUAUUGCACAAUGGGCGAAAGCCUGAUGCAGCGACGCCGCGUGAGGGAUGACGGCCUUCGGGUUGUAAACCUCUUUCAGCAGGGAAGAAGCGAAAGUGACGGUACCUGCAGAAGAAGCGCCGGCUAACUACGUGCCAGCAGCCGCGGUAAUACGUAGGGCGCAAGCGUUGUCCGGAAUUAUUGGGCGUAAAGAGCUCGUAGGCGGCUUGUCACGUCGGUUGUGAAAGCCCGGGGCUUAACCCCGGGUCUGCAGUCGAUACGGGCAGGCUAGAGUUCGGUAGGGGAGAUCGGAAUUCCUGGUGUAGCGGUGAAAUGCGCAGAUAUCAGGAGGAACACCGGUGGCGAAGGCGGAUCUCUGGGCCGAUACUGACGCUGAGGAGCGAAAGCGUGGGGAGCGAACAGGAUUAGAUACCCUGGUAGUCCACGCCGUAAACGGUGGGGCACUAGGUGUGGGCAACAUUCCACGUUGUCCGUGCCGCAGCUAACGCAUUAAGUGCCCCGCCUGGGGAGUACGGCCGCAAGGCUAAAACUCAAAGGAUUGACGGGGGCCCGCACAAGCGGCGGAGCAUGUGGCUUAAUCGACGCAACGCGAAAAUCUUACCAGGCUUGACAUACACCGGAAACGUCUG